GCUUAUUUCCGCUAGGUGGCGGUAAUUCAUCUAAAAGCUGUUUGCCAGCCGCUUUGUAGAGAAAGGCGAAGAAAGCUCGAGCUGGUUUGAACCGAUUAGCCAUGUGGUUAAAAAUGAAAGAGCCACGUUGUACUGAUAAAGCAGAUGCUACUAAUUACAAGAAACUUGCCUGGGGAGUAAGAAAAGUGUUUAGUACCAGUCACGGUGGAUUGCGCUGAAUGGAUGAGGCGUCCCGUCGGUUUAAAUUGGAGUUCAAGAGUCGGGAAGCGAAAGGAAAAAUCCUGUGAAGAUUCAAAGGCUCGGCUCUGCAGACUUGAACUGGAACGUCUUUGUCUCUAAAGGCAGAAGAUCAAAGAAGUAACUGUGGGAUGGGACGUUUUUAGUUCAACAAGUGUCCUGUUAUAGCCUCGGUUAAAGAGUUUCAAUGCUGGUAAGCAUGAAGAGGCUUUACUCAUGUUUUAAAAAGACAGAAUAAGAAGUUAAUAUUUUUAAAAUAGCUUAUACUAUUAAAAAUACCAUAGCUUACAAGUUAUGAUAUUGGAAAUGUACUAGAGCAGUGGUCCCCAACCCCCGGGCCGCAGACCGGUACCGGGCCGCGCAAGAAAUAAUUAAAUAUUUCUGUUUUAUGUAUUGUUUGAGUCUGGAGGAUCUUUUAUUUUGAAAAUCCUUUAACCAGAUUCUCUCGGUUACAUCUUGCGCCCAACAUUGAGCCCACAAGCAGCAAAAUGAGUAAGAAACAGAUCAGAUGUCUUUGGAAAGUUUCUUUGCGAAGGGGAAAAGGCCCAGAAAAGAGACAGGAGAAUGGAUUUAUCCCGGCAGAUGAUUCCCACAUUCCAAGCCCACUCUGCAUGAUAUGCGGUGACCGGCUCGCUAAUGAGGGAAAGAAGCCUUCAAACUGCUUUGCCACAUAGAGACCAGGCACCCUGUACAUAAGCAACACUUCGGGUGUUAUUGUCUCUCAUCACUCCCAGAUGGGACCGUCUCGUUGCAGAGAAACAAGCUCAGGGCUCCCAUUAGUCGUUAUCAUGAGUUAAACUUUUCACAAAAGUAAAAUGUUUGUUUUUGUGGCGUCUGUCUGUAUCUUAUUUUGAAGGGAUAUGUAAACGUUACCAUAGCGACCAGAGUCAGAGCGUUAUGGGCAGUGGUCGAGACAAGAUGAGAGGAGUGGAGCUUGUGAGUUUUAGGUCUGGUUCACACGGCACGAUUUAAGGAUUGUCGGCAGAUUUUCCAAACUUUGGUGACCACACACGACACGAGCCAAUAAAAGUCCAACAGGUUCGACCUUUUAAACUAAAGGUCUUAACUGCCAUAAGAUAAUUUGUUGAGGUAAAAAAAACAGUGAAGCCUUUGCUGAAUGUCAUAUUUCAACAGUUCUUAAUGUGACAUUGUAAUCCAGCUAGUCGCAUCUUGGUGUUCUUGUGGAGGGGACAGAGUUUGUCAGAGGAGGAUUGCAGGUUGAGGGAUUGUGUUGCAUCAGCGGCCACCACACUUAAACAUUUGCGUUUUGCUUUUGUCAGCCAGACCAGACAGGUUUCAUAAUGCAGGAACGCUUCUGGUUGGGUGGUAUAUUGGAAUUUUGAUUAACGCAUUUCACAAGAAAUACUGCAAGAAAAAAAGGAUUGAGCUUGUUGCUGGGUAAUAAAAUGACUUAAAAUGUAUUAUUGAGGAACAGAGAAUAAUCUCAAUAGAGGGAGACUUUAAAAUCCAACAAGACAGACUAUAUGUUUUAUAAGACGGUAUGUAGGGCCAGUAUUGUUUACUAUAAUUUUUGAGAAUGUAUUUGCAAUAUUAACAGAACAAUGGGUCUUGUACAUGUAUUGCUAGUUAAGAAAAUAUAAUUUCACCACUUUACAUAUAAUCCAUAAUAACCUACAAUGCAUAAGGGAAUUAUGUGUUUAGGUUAAUUUUUAAAGUUAAAUAUGUUUUAACGUUGUGUGACACAUUUCUCUUAGAACUGGACUGUUGAUGUGAAACUGUUGUGAUAAUUAUUGAACCUGUUCAAUAAAUAAGUAAACAUUGUGGUUA